AACCCCAAGGGAAAUGGUGUCUUCCCUGCACAAACCGCUUGAAAGCUGAUGACGCCUUCAAAUCG
rnacentral:ncRNA from 12 species